rnacentral:rRNA from 1 species
AGAGUUUGAUCCUGGCUCAGAGCGAACGCUGGCGGCAGGCUUAACACAUGCAAGUCGAGCGGGCGUAGCAAUACGUCAGCGGCAGACGGGUGAGUAACGCGUGGGAACGUACCUUUUGGUUCGGAACAACACAGGGAAACUUGUGCUAAUACCGGAUAAGCCCUUACGGGGAAAGAUUUAUCGCCGAAAGAUCGGCCCGCGUCUGAUUAGCUAGUUGGUGAGGUAAUGGCUCACCAAGGCGACGAUCAGUAGCUGGUCUGAGAGGAUGAUCAGCCACAUUGGGACUGAGACACGGCCCAAACUCCUACGGGAGGCAGCAGUGGGGAAUAUUGGACAAUGGGCGCAAGCCUGAUCCAGCCAUGCCGCGUGAGUGAUGAAGGCCCUAGGGUUGUAAAGCUCUUUUGUGCGGGAAGAUAAUGACGGUACCGCAAGAAUAAGCCCCGGCUAACUUCGUGCCAGCAGCCGCGGUGAUACGAAGGGGGCUAGCGUUGCUCGGAAUCACUGGGCGUAAAGGGUGCGUAGGCGGGUCUUUAAGUCAGGGGUGAAAUCCUGGAGC